rnacentral:rRNA from 1 species
CGCGUAGGUAACCUGCCUUGUAGCGGGGGAUAGCUAUUGGAAACGAUAGCUAAUACCGCAUAACAAUGGGUGACUCAUGUCAUUUAUUUGAAAGGGGCAAAUGCUCCACUACAAGAUGGACCUGCGUUGUAUUAGCUAGUAGGUGAGGUAACGGCUCACCUAGGCGACGAUACAUAGCCGACCUGAGAGGGUGAUCGGCCACACUGGGACUGAGACACGGCCCAG